UCUUUACAUUUGUUUUCUUUUAAAUUCUCUCCCUUUCGGUCAAUGUUCCCCGCAAAGAACAAAACCCUAGCCGCUAUAGCCCCUCUUCUUCUCAGAUCUAGUUCAUAGCCAUCGACAAACGAUUGUAAUUGUCGUUAUUGUACACACUUCUUCGCGGCUGUCUCACUCUCGUUCUCAGGAACCUAUAUCUCCUACGCCCUGGCUUCGCCUCUUAGGAAAUUGGUACCUCUCCUGUUUCUUUCCGUUCUUUUAUGAAUGGGAAGGUAAGAUUGUUUUUGUAACUAGUGAUAUCAGUAGUUUCAAAGAGUAUUACAUCAAACAUCUACAACCUUAAAAUCAUUAGAUGUAAUUUUGAGAUGAAAGUUUUAAAUAUAUAACUCUUCAGAUGUGUUGCGCAGAUUAUUGCAGCAAUUUUCGAAGGAAUUACUGAUUUUUUCUUUCAUAUCAUUGUUUAAACAUUGCUAAUUUUGAGAUAUGUUGAGCACAAGAGUCCUACUUAAUAUUGUAAUUUUAAUUUUAUAAUAAUGAUAAUAAGGUGAGAGCAUUAUUUGUAGCAUUAAAUCUUAAUGCAAAUAGAAGGUUCUGAAUUACAUAGUGAAAUACUAUAUAAAGACUAAUCAAAGAAGAAGUUACAGCGAAUGCUUGCUAUUAGAAUUAUCUUGAUGCUUGCAAAUGUAAAUGUAAUGUUAAGAACACGAAUAAAUAAGAAACAGGUAGCUUCAAUUUAAAUAAUAGUUAAUUAUCUUGCUUAUAUUUAUUUGCUGGCAAUUGUGCACCUAAAAUUCAAUGGAAAUCAUUUUAGGUGAUAUUAUGAACUUCAUUACCUUUUUCUUUGUUCUGCACCUUUUGAAAAGUGCAGAAGAUGUGAGAACGAAGUUAUCACAGAGAAGGUAGGGGUGACCCAGUGGAUGAGAAGAUGUGAGAAGCGAGACUGAGGUGGUUCGGACACGUUCGGAGGAGGGGCCCGGAUGCCCCGGUAAGGAGCUGCGAGAGGCUGGAGAUUGUUGGCGGUCGGCGAGGUAGAGGGAGGCCUAAGAAGUAUUGGGCAGNNN
rnacentral:lncRNA from 1 species